CCCUUCGGGGGACAAAGUGACAGGUGGUGCAUGGUUGUCGUCAGCUCGUGUCGUGAGAUGUUGGGUUAAGUCCCGCAACGAGCGCAACCCUUAAGCUUAGUUGCCAUCAUUAAGUUGGGCACUCUAAGAUGACUGCCGGUGACAAACCGGAGGAAGGUGGGGAUGACGUCAAAUCAUCAUGCCCCUUAUGAUUUGGGCUACACACGUGCUACAAUGGACAAUACAAAGGGCAGCGAAACCGCGAGGUCAAGCAAAUCCCAUAAAGUUGUUCUCAGUUCGGAUUGUAGUCUGCAACUCGACUACAUGAAGCUGGAAUCGCUAGUAAUCGUAGAUCAGCAUGCUACGGUGAAUACGUUCCCGGGUCUUGUACACACCGCCCGUCACACCACGAGAGUUUGUAACACCCGAAGCCGGUGGAGUAACCUUUUAGGAGCUAGCCGUCGAAGGUGGGACAAAUGAUUGGGGUGAAGUCGUAACAAGGUAGCCGUAUCGGAAGGUGCGGCUGGAUCACCUCCUUUCUAAGGA
rnacentral:rRNA from 1 species